rnacentral:lncRNA from 1 species
AUUGUUCGGCUGAAUCUUCUCCAUAGGCGGUGUCCUUUGGUUUGACUUUGUAACCUUCUCUUUUUUUCAGUUGAAACGGUCGGCCAGCUCCCUUGCAGCGUGACCUGCCUUCCUUUAGAAGUCAUCGGGGUUUUCAGCCUCUCCUGCCUGGGAGCCCAUCUAGCCAGAUUUUUCUCAAAAUGUAAUCCCGGGACCAACAUCAGCAUCUUUACCGGAGAACAAGUUAAAGGGGCAAAUUCUCAGGCUGCCUCCCAGACCUGCUGGAUCAGAAAAUCUGGAGGGGAGGCCCAGCAAUCUGGGUUUUAACAAGCCCUGCAGACAUCUCAAGUUUGAGAACCACUGGCCUCGCCGUCUCUAGGCGUGGAUGGAAGAGCAUGGACCUAGAGGCACAAUGGCCUGGAUUUGGAUCCUGGACCUGUGCGCUAGUGAUAUGAUUGGGUAAGUCACCUCAUCUCUUGGAGACUCCACUUUCUCAGCAGUGAAAUGGAGGGUAACGAUCGUUUAUAUUGUACAGCAGCUGUAAGAGAAGCACACACCUCUGGGCAUGUGAAAAGCAGUGGUUUCAAUCUUGCCUCUGUGGACCCUGUUCUGACAUGAGAAGAGAAACCGAUUCACCCAGGUCGUGCCCCAUGGAGACAAAACCUGAGGUUUUUUUUUUUUUUUAAAGAACCCAUGGCCCUAACAGAACAGGUUACUGUUUGGAGUUUAUACCAAAUCUGUGCCCCCAGAUCUUAGUAUUGGUACUAGACUCCCCUAGGCUAUCACUGGAUGGUUGGGAAUUAAGCCCAAUUAAUCUGAAACUCAUUGUGAUUCCCCAGGUUUCACUGACCUAUUUUCCUGCUAUGUUAUGAGAACUAUGCAGUCUGGGCCAUCCUAGAAUAAAACGAGAUCAGGAGAUCA